GCUUUAUAUAGAAAUAUUAAUAAAUAUAAAUUUUUAGGAAAAUAAUUAAAAUAAUUUUACUCUACUUUCAGAUUAUGAUCUUAAUUAUAUUUAUUUUAUACGUAUUUUUGUCAAUUAUGAAUAAAGUGGAUUGGAAAAUAGGAGCCUUAUCCCUUACUAUACCAAAAGCUAUAAGAAUAACUCUUGUGGAAGGGAAAUUCAUCGCCGAACAACUAGAAAGAUGGAAAAAAUCUAUAAAUCUCGAUUUUAAC